GUUGAAACACCAGUCCUCUUACGAUUACCGAAGUUAAGCAACGUCAAACCUGGCAAGUAUCUAGAUGGGUGUCCGCUUGGGAAUACCAAGUGCUGUAAG